rnacentral:rRNA from 1 species
GGGGACCCGCAAGCGGUGGAGCAUGUGGUUUAAUUCGAAGCAACGCGAAGAACCUUACCAAAUCUUGACAUCCUCUGACCACUGUAGAGAUACAGUUUCCCUUCGGGGCAGAGUGACAGGUGGUGCAUGGUUGUCGUCAGCUCGUGUCGUGAGAUGUUGGGUUAAGUCCCGCAACGAGCGCAACCCUUAAGCUUAGUUGCCAGCAUUCAGUUGGGCACUCUAGGUUGACUGCCGGUGACAAACCGGAGGAAGGUGGGGAUGACGUCAAAUCAUCAUGCCCCUUAUGAUUUGGGCUACACACGUGCUACAAUGGACAGGUGACAAAGGGCAGCGAAGUCGUGAGGCCAAGCGAAUCCCAUAAAACUGUUCUCAGUUCGGAUUGGAGUCUGCAACUCGACUCCAUGAAGCUGGAAUCGCUAGUAAUCGUGGAUCAGCAUGCCACGGUGAAUACGUUCCCGGGUCUUGUACACACC